AUACUUUUUAAGUUACAGUUAUCCAACAUCAAUCUCAAAUGCACCCAAUGUCUCUGACAUUAUCGAUUCCAGCUCCUACUUUUGAAAUCUGGUAGCACACAGGUACUUUACUAACUUUACCCCUCUUGGAAUGAAAAUACCUUCUUUCUUCUUCUUUGCUUUUGCCACGUAAUCUAUUCCUUUCAGUUGUCUGAUAGUGCACCAAAUUUCUAUGCCGCCCCCAAUCUCAAUUUCAUUAAGCAAGACUCUAAUGGUCACCACCACUCGAGGCGGCUCUAAAGUAUUAGGGACUUGAGGUGAAUUUUUUUUUUUUUUGGAAGUCUCGUUAUAUUUAGUGCCUUUUACACUCAAAGAAACAUAAAAAAAACACAAAAUUUAAUUACAUAUUGAAUAUUAACAACCAGUAAGAUAAUAAGAAGUUUCAAAAAAGAAAAGUAAUUAAGCAUUUUUUUUUAAAUUCCCCAAGAUUAUUAUUUCAAGAAACUAAUUUU
rnacentral:lncRNA from 1 species